UGGGGAAUAUUGGACAAUGGGGGAAACCCUGAUCCAGCGACGCCGCGUGUGUGAAGAAGGCCUGCGGGUUGUAAAGCACUUUCGGUGGGAACGAAAUAUGCCGGGCUAAUACCCCGGUAGGCUGACGUUACUCAAUGAAGAAGCACCGGCUAACUCUGUGCCAGCAGCCGCGGUAAUACAGAGGGUGCGAGCGUUAAUCGGAAUUACUGGGCGUAAAGCGCAUGUAGGUGGCGACGUAAGUCGGGUGUGAAAUCCCCGGGCUCAACCUGGGAACCGCAUUCGAGACUGUGUUGCUGGAGUACGGAAGAGGAGGGCGGAAUUCCCGGUGUAGCGGUGAAAUGCGUAGAUAUCGGGAGGAACAUCAGUGGCGAAGGCGGCCCUCUGGUCCAGUACUGACACUCAAGUGCGAAAGCGUGGGAGCAAACAGGAUUAGAUACCCAAGUAGUCCCUGAGCGGGCUGGCAAGGCGCAU
rnacentral:rRNA from 1 species